rnacentral:rRNA from 1 species
AUUGAACGCUGGCGGCAGGCCUAACACAUGCAAGUCGAACGAGUGGCGGACGGGUGAGUAAUGUCUGGGAAACUGCCUGAUGGAGGGGGCUAACUACUGGAAAAGGUAGCUAAUACCGCAUACCAUCAGAUGUGCCCAGAUGGGAUUCGCUAGUUGGUGGGGUAACGGUUCACCAAGGCGACGAUCCCUAGCUGGUCUGCGAGGAUGACCAGCCAAACUGGAACUGAGACACGGUCCAGACUCCUACGGGAGGCAGCAGUGGGGAAUAGUGACCAAUGGGCGCAAGCCUGAUGCAGCCAGGCCGCGUGUAUGAAGAAGGCCUUAGGGUUGUAAAUUACUUUCAGCGGGGAGGCGUUACCCGCAGAAGAAGCACCGGCUAACUCCGUGCCAGCAGCCGCGGUAAUAC